rnacentral:rRNA from 1 species
UAAAAACCCCAACUUCGGAAGGGGUGUAUUUAUUAGAUACAAAACCAAUGCCCUUCGGGGCUCUUUGGUGAUUCAUGAUAACUAUACGAAUCGCACGGCCUUGCGCCGGCGAUGGUUCAUUCAAAUUUCUUCCCUAUCAACUUUCGAUGUUUGGGUAUUGGCCAAACAUGGUUGCAACGGGUAACGGAGGGUUAGGGCUCGACCCCGGAGAAGGAGCCUGAGAAACGGCUACUACAUCCAAGGAAGGCAGCAGGCGCGCAAAUUACCCAAUCCCGACUCGGGGAGGUAGUGACAAUAAAUACUGAUACAGGGCCCUUUCGGGCCUUGUAAUUGGAAUGAGUACAAUUUAAAUCCCUUAACGAGGAACAAUUGGAGGGCAAGUCUGGUGCCAGCAGCCGCGGUAAUUCCAGCUCCAAUAGCGUAUAUUAAAGUUGUUGUGGUUAAAAAGCUCGUAGUUGAACCUUGGGCCUGGCUGGCCGGUCCGCCUCACCGCGUGCACUGGUCCGGCCGGGCCUUUCCCUCUGUGGAACCCCAUACCCUUCACUGGGCGUGGCGGGGAAACAGGACAUUUACUUUGAAAAAAUUAGAGUGCUCCAGGCAGGCCUAUGCUCGAAUACAUUAGCAUGGAAUAAUAAAAUAGGACGCGCGGUUCUAUUUUGUUGGUUUAUAGGACCGCCGUAAUGAUUAAUAGGGACAGUCGGGGGCAUCAGUAUUCAACUGUCAGAGGUGAAAUUCUUGGAUCAGUUGAAGACUAACUACUGCGAAAGCAUUUGCCAAGGAUGUUUUCAUUAAUCAGGAACGAAAGUUAGGGGAUCGAAGACGAUCAGAUACCGUCGUAGUCUUAACCAUAAACUAUGCCGACUAGGGAUCGGACGGUGUUAUUCAUGACCCGUUCGGCACCUUACGAGAAAUCAAAGUGCUUGGGCUCCAGGGGGAGUAUGGUCGCAAGGCUGAAACUUAAAGAAAUUGACGGAAGGGCACCACCAGGGGUGGAGCCUGCGGCUUAAUUUGACUCAACACGGGGAAACUCACCAGGUCCAGACACAAUAAGGAUUGACAGAUUGAGAGCUCUUUCUUGAUUUUGUGGGUGGUGGUGCAUGGCCGUUCUUAGUUGGUGGGGUGACUUGU